AUAUGCAAGCUCACUUAAGACAUUCAAGGAGGUCUGGAUCCUUUCCUCACUGCCCAGGCCCGGGCCCACCCCACCUUUAACCGUCAGGGUUCCCCACUACCUGGGAAGCCCCACACCCUCCAAAGAUGCGCUAGGUGCGCCAGACGCAUGCUCCUCUGCUCCGCUGGCUCCGAAGAACCAGAUCUGAGGCCAAGAUAAAACCCGAUUCCUGAUGUCCGACCCCCUAACAUUAGAAGUCGAGAGAUGAAGGGAAAACUCGGAAAUCAGAGCCAUGGAUUCAAACCAGCACUGGAAAAUGCCCCGGGACAGUUCGUGCUGAGCGCCUUAGCCACAGGAAACAUUUUCCUGGGCAUCUAAAAGUAUUGUGGACCUGAGACACUGUGCUUACAGGGCCUACUGGUUUUCACUGUAUGAGACCGAGAAUGGAUUAUGGCAGUUCCUCUUACCUCCGCUGCAUACUUGACUCCAUCCACGGUGUGCUCAGAGCCAUGAUCAUCCGAAGAGCCCCAGUGAAGAUGAAACUGGCGAAGUCGGUAGGGUCCAGGGAGAGGACCCCCUCUCAGCACUGUGAUUCAGAUAAGCUUGGUCAAC
rnacentral:lncRNA from 1 species